UAAGUAGGUACACUGUGGAGCCUGAACCAUGGGAUUUGGAAAGAAUGGAAUUCUCUUUCUGAUUAUUUUGCAAGGUGUCCAUUGUGAUAUUGAGCUGGUGGAGUCUGGGGGAGAUGUGAGACAGCCUGGAGGAUCCAUGAAACUAUCCUGCAAAGCUUCUGGAUUCACUAUCAGCAGCAGUCACAUGCACUGGGUUCGCCAGGCUCCAGGGAAGGGACUAGAGUGGGUCUCAGUUGUUUGGUCUAAUGGCAAUACAAAUUAUGCAGACUCUGUGAAAGGCCGAUUCACCAUCUCCAGGGACAAUGGCAACAGCCUGCUGCACCUGCAAAUGAAUUCUCUUAAAACCGAGGAUACAGCCAUGUAUUACUGUGCAAGAGACACAGUGAGGGAAAGGAGUAUGAGAUCAGAUAUAAAACCCUUCAUAGAGAGGCCUUGUGAAGAAGGACUUAGAGAGAGAAUUCAAGAAUGUUGA